GACGUAGGGUCCAAGCGUUGUCCGGAUUUACUGGGCGUAAAGCGUGCGUAGGCGGUUCGUUGUGUCUGUGGUGAAAGCCCCGGGCUUAACCUGGGAAUGGCCAUGGAAACUGGCGAGCUGGAGUGUGGCAGAGGGGGGUGGAAUUCCGCGUGUAGCAGUGAAAUGCGUAGAUAUCGGGAGGAACACCUGUGGCGAAAGCGGCGCACUGGACCAUAACUGACGCUGAGGCGCGAAAGCUAGGGGAGCAAACAGG
rnacentral:rRNA from 1 species